GACGUAGGGCGCGAGCGUUGUCCGGAUUUAUUGGGCGUAAAGAGCUCGUAGGCGGUCUGUCGCGUCUGCUGUGAAAACCUAGGGCUUAACUCUGGGCGUGCAGUGGGUACGGGCAGGCUAGAGUGCGGUAGGGGAGACUGGAAUUCCUGGUGUAGCGGUGAAAUGCGCAGAUAUCAGGAGGAACACCGGUGGCGAAGGCGGGUCUCUGGGCCGUAACUGACGCUGAGGAGCGAAAGCAUGGGGAGCGAACAGG
rnacentral:rRNA from 1 species